CCCGUAUGUGACCGGUGACCGAUCCCAUGUGAAACCCCUUCGACGAGUCGAGUUGUUUGGGAAUGCAGCUCAAAAUGGGUGGUAAAUUUCAUCUAAAGCUAAAUACUGGCUGGAGACCGAUAGCGCACAAGUAGAGUGAUCGAAAGAUGAAAAGCACUUUGGAAAGAGAGUCAAAAAGUACGUGAAAUUGUUGAAAGGGAAGCGCUUGCAACCAGACCUGUCCGCAGGUGAUCAGCCGCCGUUCUCGGUGGUGCACUCGCCUGCGAUCAGGCCAGCAUCGGUUCGGGCGGUCGGAUAAAGGCCUUGGGAAUGUAGCUCCUCUCGGGGAGUCUUAUAGCCCUCGGUGCAAUGCGGCCAGCCCGGACCGAGGACCGCGCUUCGGCUAGGAUGCUGGCGUAAUGGUUGUAAGCGACCCGUCUUGAAACACGGACCAAGGAGUCUAACAUCUAUGCGAGUGUUUGGGUGUCAAACCCAUGCGCGGAAUGAAAGUGAACGGAGGUGAGAACCCUUUAGGGCGCAUCAUCGACCGAUCCAGAUGUCUUCGGAUGGAUUUGAGUAUGAGCAUAGCUGUUGGGACCCGAAAGAUGGUGAACUAUGCCUGAAUAGGGUGAAGCCAGAGGAAACUCUGGUGGAGGCUCGCAGCGGU
rnacentral:rRNA from 1 species